rnacentral:misc_RNA from 1 species
UGGACUACUCGGGUUUCUAAUCCUGUUUGCUACCCACGCUUUCGCUCCUCAGCGUCAGUUCCGGCCCAGAAGACCGCCUUCGCUACUGGUGUUCCUCCCGAUAUCUGCGCAUUUCACCGCUACACCGGGAAUUCCAUCUUCCUCUACCGGACUCAAGCCACAGCAGUAUCGACCGACGCCCCGGGGUUGAGCCCCGGUCUUUCACGAUCGACUUACUGAGCCGCCUACGAGCUCUUUACGCCCAAUGAUUCCGGACAACGCUUGCCCCCUACGUAUUACCGCGGCUGCUGGCACGUAGUUGGCCGGGGCUUCUUCUGGAGGUACCGUCAUUUUCGUCCCUCCUGAAAGAGGUUUACAACCCGAAGGCCGUCAUCCCUCACGCGGUGUUGCUGCGUCAGGC